GACGAACGCUGGCGGCGUGCUUAACACAUGCAAGUCGAACGGAAAGGCCCUGCUUUUGUGGGGUGCUCGAGUGGCGAACGGGUGAGUAACACGUGAGUAACCUGCCCUUGACUUUGGGAUAACUUCAGGAAACUGGGGCUAAUACCGGAUAGGAGCUCCUGCUGCAUGGUGGGGGUUGGAAAGUUUCGGCGGUUGGGGAUGGACUCGCGGCUUAUCAGCUUGUUGGUGGGGUAGUGGCUUACCAAGGCUUUGACGGGUAGCCGGCCUGAGAGGGUGACCGGCCACAUGGGGAGUGAGGUAGGGCCCAGACUCCUAGGGGGGGAAGGGGGGGGGAAUUGUGCCAAAGGGGCGGAAGCCUGAUGCAGCAACGCCGGGGGCGGGAUGACGGCCUUGGGGUUGAAAACCGCUUUCGCCUGGGACGAAGGGGGGGGGAGGGAAAUGGGAAAAGAAGCACCGGCUAACUACGG
rnacentral:rRNA from 1 species